GGCUCCUCCCCGCGCCUCGGGCAGCUCGGGCAGCUCGGGGCCGUGCGGGGACGGCCGUGCGGGGACGGCGAGCCCCGGGCCCCGCGCCGCCCGUGUGCGGGCCGUGCGAUCGCCGCUAACGGCCGGCCCCGCUCGGUGCGUUGCAGCCGGGAGCGCCUGGCACCGCGCUGACCGUCCGCCCGUGGAGCCGGCAGCGGAGGACGAGCGGCGGCACGACGAGGACCGGCACGACGACGACGACGACGACGACGACGACGAGGACGAGCGGAGCCUGCGGACGGCCCUCAAGAAGCUGCGGCUGGACGCGGCGCGGCGGCACGAGGACGAGGAGGAGCAGCAGCAGCAGCAGCAGGACGACGACGAGGACGAGGACGACGACGACGAGGACGAGGAGGAGCGCAGCCUGCGGACGGCCCUCCAGGAGCUGCGGGUGGACGCGGCGCGGUGUGAGAGGACUGCAGGAGGACCGGCCGGUCUCUCACGGCACGGACGUUCCAGGUCUCCUGUCCUAUCCAUCUGUGAAACAGCCCUGUGCAGCCCUCCCGCAUCCCGUUCUGUGGAGGCUCACGCUUAUGUCAGUGACGUGACUGUGGAAGACCUGGCAGGGUACCUGGAACACCAUCUGCAUAUACCAAAGAAAAUGUCUGCCAUGGCAGAAAUGAUGUAUUCAUAACCAAACAGCAAAAACAGUCACAGUACUAAGCGCUAUCAGAAAUUUAAAUGGCUCGUUUGUGCCAUAUUUGUAAUGUUCUGUUUCAUCAAAUGUCUUAUUACACGGUACAGUUUAGUUUUGUAAUUAAGAGAAAAACUGUACAUAGUUGCAUAGACUCCUGUGGCUGAAAUGAUGUAUACUUAACUGAAAGCCAUACUCAGUCACAUAGUAAUACAGUUUAUUUUUGUAACUCGAAUAAAAACUGUAUAUAGUCUCAU
rnacentral:lncRNA from 1 species